rnacentral:rRNA from 1 species
UAAAAGCAAUCACUUUUAGUACCGCCUGCUCAAUGAAUUUAAAUAGCCGCAGACCCCUGUGCUAAGGUAGCAUAAUCAUUUGCCUAAUAAUUAUAGGAUAGAAUGAAAGGUAGAACAUGCUUCUUUCUUUAUUAAAAAGAUUAUUCUAACUUAAAUUUUAAGUAAAAAUCCUUAAAUAAUUAGGGGGACGACAAGACCCUGUCGAACUUUACAUUCAUGUUGAGCUGGGGCGGCAAGAAAACACACCUUUCAUCCCUUUCUACAAAAACAACCCUAUUAAGGAUCAAAUCAAGUUACCGCAGGGAUAACAGCAUAAUCUUUUUCUAAAGUCCUUAUAAAAAAGAAAGAUUGUGACCUCGAUGUUGAAUUAAAUUUCUUUUAGAGGCAGUACUCUAAAAAGAAAGUCUGUUCGACUUUUAAAAAUUU